rnacentral:rRNA from 1 species
UACGUAGGGUGCGAGCGUUAAUCGGAAUACUGGGCGUAAAGCGUGCGCAGGCGGUUCGUUGUGUCUGCUGUGAAAUCCCCGGGCUCAACCUGGGAAUGGCAGUGGAAACUGGCGAGCUUGAGUGUGGCAGAGGGGGUGGAAUUCCGCGUGUAGCAGUGAAAUGCGUAGAGAUGCGGAGGAACACCGAUGGCGAAGGCAACCCCCUGGGCUGACACUGACGCUCAGGCACGAAAGCGUGGGGAGCAAACAGG